CUCUGUACCAGUAACCCCUGUUUAUAGCCUCCACAUUGACUCUGUACCGGUACCCCCUGUAUAUAGCCUCCAUAUUGACUCUGUACCGGUACCCCCUGUAUAUAGCCUCCACAUUGACUCUGUACCGGUACACCCUGUAUAUAGCCUCCCCAUUGACUCUGUACCUGUACCCCCUGUAUAUAGCCUCCACAUUGACUCUGUACCGGUACCCCCUGUAUAUAGCCUCCACAUUGACUCUGUACCGGUACCCCCUGUAUAUAGCCUCCACAUUGACUCUGUACCGGUACCCCCUGUAUAUAGCCUCCACAUUGACUCUGUACCGUAAUACCCUGUAUAUAGCCUCCACAUUGACUCUGUACCGGUACCCCCUGUAUAUAGCCUCCACAUUGACUCUGUACCGGUACCCCCUGUAUAUAGCCUCCACAUUGACUCUGUACCGGUACCCCCUGUAUAUAGCCUCCACAUUGACUCUGUACCGUAAUACCCUGUAUAUAGCCUCCACAUUGACUCUGUACCGGUACCCCCUGUAUAUAGCCUCCACAUUGACUCUGUACCGGUACCCCCUGUAUAUAGCCUCCACAUUGACUCUGUACCGGUACCCCCUGUAUAUAGCCUCCACAUUGACUCUGUACCGGUACCCCCUGUAUAUAGCCUCCACAUUGACUCUGUACCAGUACCCCCUGUAUAUAGCCUCCACAUUGACUCU